GAGUCGGCUGUGCGGCUGCGGGAACUUACGUUCACGAGGAAAGUCCGAGCUUCAUAAAGCAGGGUGACGGAUAACGUCCGCCGAAGGUGACUUCAGGGAAAGUGCAACAGAAAAGAACCGCCGCUUACGCGGUAAGGAUGAAAAGGCGGGGUAAGAGCCCACCGACCUUGCGGUAACGCAGGGUGCCGUGUAAACCCCACCCGAAGCAAGAUAGGAACGCGCCGAUAUGCGGUCGCUUGCCGCGGCGCGCUCGUCAAACGUCGCUUGAGUUUGGCGGUAACGUCAAACCUAGAUAGAUAGCCGCACCAGACAAAACUCGGCUUAUAGGCCGACUCG
rnacentral:RNase_P_RNA from 1 species